GCCGGACACGCUGUGCUUCGAUAAGGAUGAAUUCAUGAAGGAGGACUUCGAUGUGGACCAUUUUGUGUCUGACUGCAGGAAGCGGGUGCAGCUGGAGGAGCUGAGAGACGACCUGGAGUUGUAUUACAAGCUGCUCAAGACAGCCAUGGUGGAGCUCAUCAACAAGGACUAUGCCGACUUCGUCAACCUCUCAACAAACCUGGUCGGCAUGGACAAAGCCCUCAACCAGCUUUCUGUGCCUUUGGGACAACUACGGGAAGAGGUUCUGAGUCUGAGGUCAUCAGUCAGUGAAGGAAUUCUGGCAGUAGAGGAACGGAUGUCUAAGCAAGAUGACAUCAGGAAGAAGAAGAUGAGCGUGCUGAGACUUAUACAAGUCAUUCGAUCGGUUGAGAAAAUUGAAAAAAUCUUGAACUCCCAAAGUUCUAAGGAUGCGUCCUCACAAGAAGCAAGCAGGUACGUGUCCUUGCCGAGUUCUUCACAUCCAGCCUAAAACUCGUUCUGAGUGGGACUCGAUUCUGGAAAAUAAAGAGAAAAUCUGAGUC
rnacentral:lncRNA from 1 species